rnacentral:rRNA from 1 species
UACGAAGGGGGCUAGCGUUGUUCGGAAUCACUGGGCGUAAAGCGCACGUAGGCGGAUUUGUUAGUCAGGGGUGAAAUCCCGGGGCUCAACCUCGGAACUGCCUUUGAUACUGCAGAUCUCGAGUCCGGAAGAGUUGAGUGGAAUUCCUAGUGUAGAGGUGAAAUUCGUAGAUAUUAGGAAGAACACCAGUGGCGAAUGCGGCUCACUGGUCCGGUACUGACGAUGAGGUGCGAAAGCGUGGGGAGCAAACAGG